rnacentral:rRNA from 1 species
GAUGAACGCUAGCUACAGGCUUAACACAUGCAAGUCGAGGGGCAGCACAGUGUAGCAAUACACGGGUGGCGACCGGCGCACGGGUGCGUAACGCGUAUCCAAACUUUCCCGUUACUCUCGGAUAGCCUUCCGAAAGGGAGAUUAAUACGAGAUGGUGUUCAGUUUCCGCAUGUUGCUGAACUAAAGAUUCAUCGGUAACGGAUAGGGAUGCGUGACAUUAGAUAGUUGGCGGGUAACGGCCCACCAAGUCAACGAUGUCUAGGGGUUCUGAGAGGAAGGUCCCCCACACUGGAACUGAGACACGGUCCAGACUCCUACGGGAGGCAGCAGUGAGGAAUAUUGGUCAAUGGUCGGAAGACUGAACCAGCCAUGCCGCGUGAAGGUGACGG